AUCAGGGGUAAACCUGUGGAACUCGAACGAGCGAACGGGAAGAUUCAACGCUCUUCCGUCAAUUCGCGRCGCAAGGUUGUGURUCUGUUUGCGUAGCGAUGCGCAUAAUGGACGUCGCAUCUUGCGUCGUGGUUUGAUUUGCGGAGUGCGUGCACUUCUUCCUUAGUAAAACACCGCGACCCGUUGGUAAAGUUGGGUCGAACACACCGUGCGGUUGUCCCAUUGCAGCUUUGGYGGCAGUGGAGCCGCGGUGUUGUGGCCCACCAUCGACGGUAAAGAACAAGGAUCAYGUCCGCCCUUAAUUAAUUGAGAGCGUCCACRAUGCGACGACGUCGUCCCCUAUUCGAUCUUCAGCGUCGCAAGGCGUUGUGGCCAUCGAAYAAGGUCCAACGAUAGACGGAUUYRUCAAUUCGUUGACGAUUCGUCUGUCGUUUCGGAUGACGUGUUCAGUCGCAUUUGCUYGGACGGGACGCGUCCCGGUCRGCGGUG
rnacentral:rRNA from 1 species